CUGUCCGUCUGAGUCUCAUCUGCUUUAGUAUUUGAGUAGCUGCCUAACUAGUGUGGUUACAGUGGUUGUGGUUCGGGGGAGGGUCACCGGCUGGCAGGAGUAGUGCCAUUCAUAGAUUUGCCCCUAUUUGCAGUUCUACCCAUUAGGGUUCUACAGCCUUCAAUGGGCUGGUGUUGUUCCUCCCCCAGGUGAUCCCGUUUACCCUGGUUGGUGCACUAUGUGCGUGGUUGUAGUCUGUCUGAAAUCCUUUUU